ACGGGGGGUGCAAGCGUUGUUCGGAAUCAUUGGGCGUAAAGCGCGUGUAGGCGGCUUAACAAGUCAGAUGUGAAAUCCCUGGGCUUAACCCAGGAAGUGCAUUUGAAACUGUUUGGCUUGAGUAAGGGAGAGGAAAGUGGAAUUCCUGGUGUAGGGGUGAAAUCCGUAGAUAUCAGGAGGAACACCGGUGGCGAAGGCGACUUUCUAGGCCGACACUGACACUGAGCAGCGAAAGUGUGGGUAGCAAACAG
rnacentral:rRNA from 1 species